rnacentral:rRNA from 1 species
UCCCGGUGGAUCCUCCCGGACCCGGACUGCUAUUGGAUUGGGGAUUUAAGCCAUGUUAGUUGCACGUUUCCUGGCCAUACGGGAGACGCAGCGUACGGCUCAGUAACACGUAGUCAACCUACCCUGGAGACGCGGAUAAACCCGGGAAACUGGGGCUAAUACGCGAUAGGUGAUGUCCUCUGGAAGGAGACAUCGCCCAAAUGGUGGUGCGGGUAUGCUUCGCACCAAGCGCUCCAGGAUGGGACUGCGGCCGAUCAGGCUGUUGGCGGGGUAAUGGCCCACCAAACCUGUAACCGGUACGGGCUUUGAGAGAAGGAGCCCGGAGAUGGACACUGAGACAAGGGUCCAGGCCCUACGGGGCGCAUCAGGCGCGAAAACUUCACAAUGCGCGAAAGCGUGAUGAGGCUAAUCCGAGUGCCGUCCGCUGAGGAUGGCUUUUCUCGGCUGUAAAUAGGCCGGGGAAUAAGGGGAGGGCAAGUCUGGUGUCAGCCGCCGCGGUAAUACCAGCUCCUCGAGUGGUCGGGACGAUUAUUGGGCCUAAAGCACCCGUAGCCGGUUCCGUAAGUCCUCUGUUAAAUCCAACCGCCCAACGGUUGGGCCGCAGAGGAUACUGCGAGACUAGGAGGCGGGAGAGGCGGACGGUACUCCGCGGGUAGGGGUAAAAUCCUUUGAUCCGCGGAAGACCACCAGUGGCGAAGGCGGUCCGCCAGAACGCGCUCGACGGUGAGGGGUGAAAGCUGGGGGAGCGAACCGGAUUAGAUACCCGGGUAGUCCCAGCCGUAAACGAUGCGAGCUAGAUGAUUCAAUCGCAGUUCGCGAUUGAAGUGUCGCAGGGAAGCCGUUAAGCUCGCCGCCUGGGGAGUACGGUCGCAAGGCUGAAACUUAAAGGGAAUUGGCGGGGAAGCA